UAUACUCUAAAAUUUUCGAUUUCCAACUCAAUCCUCUCUCACACAACUCCCACUCCUUUCUCUCUCAACCUUCACCAUCUUCUCCUUUGACGAUCACGUCGAUCUUGCCAUCCCUGACAGGCGUCGUCGCUCUCUCCGUCCACGAUUGUUCGCUGUGCUCUAACCACUGGAUGUUGAGGUUAAGGUCAUGCCAUCUCUCUCGUUCGCCUGUUUGUUUUUUUUCUCUCUCUCUCGACCAUCUCGCCUGAGGUUAAGGUCACUAUCUCGCUAUCAUUGCACUGGCCAUCUCAGAUCUUCCGCCUAGAUCCACUGUAAACAGAUCCACCACACAAGUCCAUAACCUACAUAGAUUUGCCAUUCAGGUCCACCGUGAACAUUUCUAACCAACCCAUCUUAGGUCUGUUCUGUGGGUUUCAUGGGUUUGCAUCAUCACAAUCUGAUCUCUUCUUUAUUUCUUUCUUUUGUGUGUGUUCUUUGUUUGGUUUAGUGGAAUAAAGAGUUGUUGUUUUAGAAAAUUUGGAGAAAAUAAGAUUUGAGUUUUGGUUCUUCUCUUGUUUUCUUCCUCUUCUCCCUUGUUUUUCACAAUAACGAUUGAUUGGGAAUUUAUCAUUUCCUAGUAACGAUUGGGGAUUGGUUAGGGUUUUGAUUGGGGAUUGAUCAUUUUCCAAAUAACAAUUUUAGAGGUUCAAGUAAUUUUGUUGGAUUGAAGGCAUUGGGAAUUAUUGCAAUAAACAUAAAGAAGCUUAAAGAUGUUGGUUUGUGCACAGUUAAGUUUAUUGCUUACUCUCCUAUGAAAGAGCCACUUCAAAUUAAACUCAUAAUUGAGGCUGAAUUUGAUAAAAAUAUUGAAGCAGACAUGUAAUUUGUUUUCUUUUUGUUUCAUCUGCCUAUAAUUUUCCAUUUGCUUGUUCAAAUCAAAGGCAUAAGUGAGGUUGAAGCUUAGUUUGAGGCUUUACUCCAGGACUUCAAGACCAAUUAUAACUAGACACAUUUUGUGAGGAACAAGGAGUUCAAGGAAGUUACUGAUAAAAUGGAAGAAGCUCUCAAACAGAUCUUUGUGGAAUUUCUUGAGUGAUCAUGCACUACUAAGUUCUCUGGGUUUCUUCUCUACAAAAAGCUGGGAUGGAGGCUAAAGGCAAGAAAGAAAUUAGAGCUCUCGUCCAAAUAUCCAUUGACAAUAAUCCAAAAAAGUCAAACUAUAUAUUGUCAUUUGUAUUUUGAAGUGCUUGUUGCAUUCUCUGGAGGCCCUUGUUCUAGGUCUUUCCUCUUUUUCAGACUUACGCAUAUUAACUAAAGCAAAAAUUCAAUGUUUCCACUUGCAACUUCGAAUCUCAUACUGGGUUGGAGUUCCCUAAAGUUGAGAUGAGAAAAAUAGUCAUCUUCAACAUCUCCAUUGGAGCCUUUCUUCUAGUAUGAUGGAUAUGAUGUUAAAUUGUUUAAACCAAAAUUCAUUCGUUUACCAAAAUCAAUCUAGAUUGAUUUGUUGAAUGUUGGUUUUCUUGUUUGUAGGUCUUGCAUCAGGCCAUUACCACACUCAUUUUGUACUAUGCUCAAAGCAACAAAUUUUGGAUUAUUUGUUUUCAUUGAAGAGGGUGAGAUUCUUGCUUUGCUUAUUGGAUUUGUUCUUCAUGUCUUUUUUGUUGGGUGUUUCUCUGUGGUUAUUUUAGUUGUUAUUGCUCUUCUUAUUGAUGAUUUUAGAAGGAAAAAUCUGUAGGAAUUUGUGUGUAGUUUAAAAGUUUUAGAUGGUAGAGCUAGCUAGAUAUACCUUGGUGGAAGUUUGGGUUUUGGCAGCAGAGUUGGAAGCAUCUUGUAAAGCUUGUGUGGUUGCUACAAAAUGGGGUCAUUCGACUAGCUAAAUGUUUUCUAAUGUUCUUUUCUACCCAUUCCUUUGUAUAUAUUGUCAAUAACAAGAAAAGGAAUGCACGAAUACUAACAAAAGUUUGUUUUUUAGUCAUUUGGUUUUUCUUCGUUUUGAGUACAAUAUUGAUUUGUUGAAAGAAACUAUUAGGUUGGAGGAGGGGAAAAAAAAAAAACAAAAUUCUUUCUAACGUGUUUUAUGUCUUCUUGUGUGACACAUGUGUAAAUCAAGCUCCACUGUCUCUUCAACUUUUGACUGAGCUUGAGAUACUAAAUUGUCAAGAGUUAUCUCGCAAAUUUCUUCAUUCAUUAUUCCCUACUUGGAAUUUCACUAGAAAAUUCUCUCCUUCUCAAAGGUUGAAAGUGACAAAUUGGUUUAAUUUUGGUUGUUCUUUGAUGGUUUUAAAUUUGAGUGAUUAUAAUUUGAUGGAUGUACCUAAUGAUCAGCUUAGCUUCAUUACAAAUUCUUCAUAUAAGCCAAAAUCAUUUUACCAAAUUACCGGAAACAUUUCCCAUCUAAUUAAUUUGAGAGGUCUAUUUUUGGAGGAAUGUUUUCAUCUUUUGAAUUUGCCAAAACUUCCACUAAGUGUUAGAGAAGUGGAAGCAAGGGAUUGUGUUUCACUUAAAGAAUAUUACAAUCAAGAGAAACAAAUUCCUUCAAGUGAAAUGGGAAUGACUUUUAUUCAUUGUCCCAUAUCAAAUGAACCAACUGAAAGCUACAAAAUUGACCAACUUGGCCUUUCUACCAUUCACCUAAGGAGAACGACUCAACGAUACAUUGAGGUAAUUUCUCUACUUUUUUCUCUUAUUAUAAUUAUAAUUAUUUUUUGUACUCUUUUACUUUUAAGGGUAAACUGAUCAGCCUGGCCUAUCAACGAUACACAAUUGUUCAGCCUGGCCUAUCAACGAUACAAAAUUGUCUUUGUGGUUUAAAAGGAUAUAAAAUGUAUGAUUUUAUGAGUUUCACUUUGGUUCUUUUAACCUUAAAGUUUCUGAAUGUCCAUAGAAGUAGUUACCUUUUGAAGUAAAUGUUUCUAGCUUGCUAUUACAUGACUAUAAAGUCUCACUAGUUAGAAAUAAGGGAUAAUAUUUUUAUUAAGAUGAGGACUUUGAAUCCCUCUUAUUUAUGGAGUUCUCGAGUUGUAUCUGCUCAUUUAUUCAACUUAUAUGAGUUGUAUCUAUUCAACUUAUAUGAUUCGUCAGAAGAUAUCGAAACUGUUAUAUCUUGUAAUGAGAAUACUAAACUGAAGUUUAUCUAUUACUUAAUUCUGUGAAAUAGAUUGACUAA